CAGAACCUGUACCCUGUGCUUUUCCUUUCAGCCCCCACAGUUCAAGCUGGACCCCCGCCUGGCGCGACUCCUGGGGCUUCACACUCAGACCCGAGCAGUCAUUAUCCAGGCUCUAUGGCAGUAUAUAAAGACCAACAAACUGCAGGACUGUCACGAUAAGGAGUAUAUCAGCGGGGACAAGUACUUCCAGCAGAUAUUUGACUGUCCCAGAUUAAAGUUCUCGGAGAUUCCGCAGAGACUGACAAAUCUGCUUCUGCCCCCCGACCCGAUUGUCAUCAACCACAUUAUCAGCGUUGACCCCACAGACCAGAAGAAAACUGCCUGUUACGAUAUUGAUGUGGAGGUUGAAGAUCCUCUGAAGAGUCAGAUGAGCAGCUUCCUGCUCUCA